UACGUAGGGGGCGAGCGUUAUCCGGAAUUACUGGGCGUAAAGCGCACGCAGGCGGUUUGCCAAGUUUGGUGUGACAGUUGUCGGCUCAACCGACAAAGGACUUCAAAAACUGGUGAACUUGAGGACGAGAGAGGAACAUGGAACUCCAGGUGUAGUAGUGAAAUGCGUAGAUAUCUGGAAGAACACCAAUGGCGAAGGCAAUGUUCUGGCUCGUUUCUGACGCUCAGGUGCGAAAGCCAGGGGAGCGAACGGG
rnacentral:rRNA from 1 species